UACAGAGGGUGCAAGCGUUAAUCGGAAUUACUGGGCGUAAAGCGCGCGUAGGUGGUUUGUUAAGUUGGGGGUGAAAUCCCGGGGCUCAACCUCGGAAUUGCCUUCAAAACUGGAUAUCUUGAGUUCGGGAGAGGUGAGUGGAACUCCGAGUGUAGAGGUGAAAUUCGUAGAUAUUCGGAAGAACACCAGUGGCGAAGGCGACUCACUGGCCCGAUACUGACGCUGAGGCGCGAAAGCGUGGGGAGCAAACAGG
rnacentral:rRNA from 1 species